rnacentral:RNase_P_RNA from 1 species
GGCAGAGGGAGCCCGGCUCCCGUGCCGCGAGGCAUGAGGAAAGUCCCCCCACCCGUCGGGCAGGCGGCCGGAUGCAAAUCCGGGACGGGAGACCGUCGGCACUGGAACAGAGACGACACGUCCCUCUCGAACCGAUGAGGCGCGCGACCCGACCCGCGAGGGGAGGAAGCUAACCCGCCGAGGGAGGCGUGGCCGACCAACGGGAGGCCACGUUACAGGUGAGCGGCGUCAGCCGCGAACCGCGCGGCUCUGCCGCGUUAAAGCGAACGGCGUCAGCCGUUCGCCGGAAGAGAGGGGAGCGAUGGAACGGCUAAUCCCCGCCGGUGCAAGUCCACGCGCGCAAGGUAGCCCGACGCGCCCGAGAGGGGCCGCGUGGACGCUCAGCCGAAUGCCGGGCCGAACAGAAGGGGGCUUACUCCCCUCCAGCU